CACGUAGUUAGCCGGGGCUUCUUAGUCAGGUACCGUCUUUCUUCUUCCCUGCUGAUAGAGCUUUACAUACCGAAAUACUUCUUCACUCACGCGGCGUUGCUGCAUCAGGGUUUCCCCCAUUGUGCAAUAUUCCCCACUGCUGCCCUCCCGUAGGAGUUUGGGCCGUGUCUCAGUCCCAAUGUGGCCGGCCACCCUCUCAGGUCGGCUACUGAUCGUCGCCUUGGUGGGCCGUUACCUCACCAACCAGCUAAUCAGACGCGGAUCCAUCCCAUACCACCGGAGUUUUUCACACCGGACCAUGCGGUCCUGUGCGCUUAUGCGGUAUUAGCAGUCAUUUCUAACUGUUAUCCCCCUGUAUGAGGCAGGUUAUCCACGCGUUACUCCACCCGUCCGCCGCUAAGUCAUAUCCGCUUCCAUCCGAAAACUUCCGACUAAUACGCUUCGCUCGACUUGCAUGUGUUAAGCACGCCGCCAGCGUUCAUCCUGAGCCAGGAUACAAACUCUCG
rnacentral:rRNA from 1 species